GCCGGAAUAGCUCAGUUGGGAGAGCGUUAGACUGAAGGCUGCAACAAUCAUCUAAAGGCCCCCGGUUAAAUCCCGUGUUCCGGCA
rnacentral:tRNA from 1 species